AACGAACGCUGGCGGCAUGCCUAAUACAUGCAAGUCGAACGAUCACUUCGGUGAUAGUGGCGCACGGGUGCGUAACGCGUGGGAAUCUGCCCUUGGGUUCGGAAUAACAGCGGGAAACUGCUGCUAAUACCGGAUGAUGACGUAAGUCCAAAGAUUUAUCGCCCAAGGAUGAGCCCGCGUAGGAUUAGCUAGUUGGUGGGGUAAAGGCCUACCAAGGCGACGAUCCUUAGCUGGUCUGAGAGGAUGAUCAGCCACACUGGGACUGAGACACGGCCCAGACUCCUACGGGAGGCAGCAGUAGGGAAUAUUGGACAAUGGGGGCAACCCUGAUCCAGCAAUGCCGCGUGAGUGAUGAAGGCCUUAGGGUUGUAAAGCUCUUUUACCAGAGAUGAUAAUGACAGUAUCUGGGGAAUAAGCCCCGGCUAACUCCGUGCCAGCCGCCGCAGUAACAC
rnacentral:rRNA from 1 species